rnacentral:rRNA from 1 species
UAGUAACUGCGAGUGAAGCGGGAAGAGCUCAAAUUUUGAAUCUGGCGGUCUUCGGCCGUCCGAGUUGUAAUCUAGAGAAGCGUUUUCCGCGCUGGCCCGUGUACAAGUCUCCUGGAAAGGAGCAUCAUAGAGGGUGAGAAUCCCGUCUUUGACACGGACUACCAGUGCUAUGUGAUGCGCUCUCGACGAGUCGAGUUGUUUGGGAAUGCAGCUCAAAAUGGGUGGUAAAUUCCAUCUAAAGCUAAAUACAGGCGAGAGACCGAUAGCGAACAAGUACCGUGAGGGAAAGAUGAAAAGAACUUUGGAAAGAGAGUUAAACCGUACGUGAAAUUGCUGAAAGGGAAACGCUUGAUGUCAGUCGCGUCGGCCGGGGAUCAACCUUGCUUCUCGCUGGGUGUAUUUCCUGGUCGACGGGUCAGCAUCAGUUUCGGUCGCCGUACAAGGACGAGGGGAACGUGGCACUCUCCGGAGUGUGUUAUAGCCUUUCGUCGUAUGCGGUGGUCGGGACUGAGGAACUCGGCACGACUCC